AGAAUUGAUCUGGUCAGACGAACGCUGGCAGCGUGGAUUAGGCGAUGCAAGUCGAACGGGAUCCGGGAGGCAGCAAUGUCGCCUGGUGAGAGUGGCGGAAGGGCGAGGAACACGUGGGCAACCUGUCUUUGAAGGUGGGGAAAACCGUUGGAAACGACGGCUAAUACCGAAUGUAGCGCCCGCUCGCAUGGAGCGGAGCGGCCAAAGGGGGCGAAAGCUCCCCCUCGUCCGAGGGGCCCGCGCACCAUCAGCUUGUUGGCGGGGUAACGGCCACCAAGGCUCACGGUUAGCUGGUCUGAGAGGAUGGCCAGCCGCACUGGGACUGAGAUACUGCCCAGACUCCUACGGGAGGCUGCAGUCGAGGAUCAUUUGCAAUGGGCGAAAGCCUGACAAUGCGACGCUGCGUGGAGGAUGAAGGCCCUCGGGUUGUAAACUCCUGUCAUGGGGGAAAAGGAAAAGGGACCCAACACGUCCCCGAUUUGAUGGUACCCCAAGAGGAAGCGACGGCUAACUCUGUGCCAGCCGCCGC
rnacentral:rRNA from 1 species